rnacentral:rRNA from 1 species
UACGAAGGGGGCUAGCGUUGCUCGGAAUUACUGGGCGUAAAGCGCACGUAGGCGGAUUGUUAAGUCGGGGGUGAAAUCCUGGAGCUCAACUCCAGAACUGCCUUCGAAACUGGCGAUCUUGAGUCCGGGAGAGGUGAGUGGAACUGCGAGUGUAGAGGUGAAAUUCGUAGAUAUUCGCAAGAACACCAGUGGCGAAGGCGGCUCACUGGCCCGGUACUGACGCUGAGGUGCGAAAGCGUGGGAGCAAACAGG